rnacentral:rRNA from 1 species
UACAGAGGAUGCAAGCGUUGUCCGGAAUUAUUGGGCGUAAAGAGCUCGUAGGCGGCCAGUUGCGUCUGCUGUGAAAUCCCGGGGUUCAACCCCGGGCGUGCAGUGGAUACGGGCUGGCUAGAGGCAGGCAGGGGAGAACGGAAUUCCCGGUGUAGCGGUGAAAUGCGCAGAUAUCGGGAGGAACACCGGUGGCGAAGGCGGUUCUCUGGGCCUGUACUGACGCUGAGGAGCGAAAGCGUGGGGAGCGAACAGG